rnacentral:rRNA from 1 species
CUGCGGAAGGAUCAUUACCUAGAGUUGUAGGCUUUGCCUGCUAUCUCUUACCCAUGUCUUUUAAGUACCUUACGUUUCCUCGGCGGGUCCGCCCGCCGAUUGGACAAUUUAAACCAUUUGCAGUUGCAAUCAGCGUCUGAAAAAACUUAAUAGUUACAACUUUCAACAACGGAUCUCUUGGUUCUGGCAUCGAUGAAGAACGCAGCGAAAUGCGAUAAGUAGUGUGAAUUGCAGAAUUCAGUGAAUCAUCGAAUCUUUGAACGCACAUUGCGCCCCUUGGUAUUCCAUGGGGCAUGCCUGUUCGAGCGUCAUUUGUACCUUCAAGCUCUGCUUGGUGUUGGGUGUUUGUCUCGCCUCUGCGUGUAGACUCGCCUCAAAACAAUUGGCAGCCGGCGUAUUGAUUUCGGAGCGCAGUACAUCUCGCGCUUUGCACUCAUAACGACGACGUCCAAAAGUACAUUUUUACACUCUUGACCUCGGAUCAGGUAGGGAUACCCGCU